GGCCUUGACAUACUAAGAACUUUCCAGAGAUGGAUUGGUGCCUUCGGGAACUUAGAUACAGGUGCUGCAUGGCUGUCGUCAGCUCGUGUCGUGAGAUGUUGGGUUAAGUCCGCAACGAGCGCAACCCUUUUCCUUAUUUGCCAGCGGGUUAAGCCGGGAACUUUAAGGAUACUGCCAGUGACAAACUGGAGGAAGGCGGGGACGACGUCAAGUCAUCAUGGCCCUUACGGCCAGGGCUACACACGUGCUACAAUGGUCGGUACAAAGGGUUGCUACCUCGCGAGAGGAUGCUAAUCUCAAAAAGCCGAUCGUAGUCCGGAUCGCAGUCUGCAACUCGACUGCGUGAAGUCGGAAUCGCUAGUAAUCGCGGAUCAGAAUGCCGCGGUGAAUACGUUCCCGGGCCUUGUACACACCGCCCGUCACACCAUGGGAGUUUGUUGCACCAGAAGUAGGUAGUCUAACCGCAAGGAGGAUGCUUACCACGGUGUGGCCGAUGACUGGGGUGAAGUCGUAACAAGGUAGGCGUAGAUGA
rnacentral:rRNA from 1 species